CGUUACGAACGUGACUCAAUACAUUAAAUAGAUUCCUAUCAGAUAAGUAAACUGUUGAAGCUUGCUCAUGGCUUGCUCUCGGGUAGGUCAUUGGGUGAGUGGAAGUUUACCUGAUAGUUUGUCAACUGUCAAAGGUUGGCUUUGAUCUGCUUAAUGAGACAAAUUGUGUUUAGCAAAAUGAGAUUGAGCAAUAACAGGUCCGUGAUGCCCUUAGAUGUCCUGGGUUGCACGCGCGCUACAAUGAGACCAUCAACGUGAUACCUGAUCUGAAAGGAUUGGGAAAUCACUUAAAUGUGCUCUUAGUUGGGAUUGUGGAUUGUAAUUAUUCACAUGAACCUGGAAUUCCCAGUAAAUGCUAGUCAUCAGCUAGCGUUGACUAAGUCCCUGCCCUUUGUACACACCGCCCGUCGCUAUUACCGAUUGGUUAUUUAGUGAGGUCUCCGGAGGUAAUCGCCGAAGAUGCUUAGGCAUCACUAGGUUGUUUUGCCAAAGUUGACCGAACUUGAUGAUUGAGAGGAAAUAAAAGUCGUAACAAGGUUUCCGUAGGUGAACCUGCGGAAGGAUCAUUA
rnacentral:rRNA from 1 species